rnacentral:rRNA from 1 species
UACGUAGGGUGCGAGCGUUGUCCGGAAUUAUUGGGCGUAAAGGGCUCGUAGGCGGUUUGUCGCGUCGGGAGUGAAAACUCGACGGCUAACCCUGAGCCUGCUUCCGAUACGGGCAGACUAGAGGUAUGCAGGGAGAACGGAAUUCCUGGUGUAGCGGUGAAAUGCGCAGAUAUCAGGAGGAACACCAAUGGCGAAGGCAGCACUCGUGGGACGUGACUGACGCGAGACGCGAAGCGUGGGGAGCAAACAGG